GUGCUCCAUCCAGCUGCAUGGGAGGCUGAUGCAGGUGCUCCAUCCAGCUGCAUGGGAGGCUGAUGCAGGUGCUCCAUCCAGCUGCAUGGGAGGCUGAUGCAGGUGCUCCAUCCAGCUGCUGGGAGGCUGAUGCAGGUGCUCCAUCCAGCUGCAUGGGAGGCUGAUGCAGGUGCUCCAUCCAGCUGCUGGGAGGCUGAUGCAGGUGCUCCAUCCAGCUGCAUGGGAGGCUGAUGCAGGUGCUCCAUCCAGCUGCAUGGGAGGCUGAUGCAGGUGCUCCAUCCAGCUGCUGGGAGGCUGAUGCAGGUGCUCCAUCCAGCUGCAUGGGAGGCUGAUGCAGGUGCUCCAUCCAGCUGCAUGGGAGGCUGAUGCAGGUGCUCCAUCCAGCUGCUGGGAGGCUGAUGCAGGUGCUCCAUCCAGCUGCAUGGGAGGCUGAUGCAGGUGCUCCAUCCAGCUGCCGAGAGGCUGAUGCAGGUGCUCCAUCCAGCUGCUGGCAAGGCUGAUACAGGAGGGUCAUAAGUUCAAGGUUGCUGGGGCUAAGCAGUGACACUGCACCUCGUAAUACUUGUAAGGUAUAUGUUCAUUUGUUAUGGUAUGUGUGCAAGGCCCCAAGGACAAAGUCAGUCGUCUAGCCUGGUUGUCAGUC